rnacentral:rRNA from 1 species
CUGCAGUCGAACGGCAGCGGGGGAGAAGCUUGCUUCUCCUGCCGGCGAGUGGCGAACGGGUGAGUAAUACAUCGGAACGUGCCCUGUAGUGGGGGAUAACUAGUCGAAAGAUUAGCUAAUACCGCAUACGACCUGAGGGUGAAAGUGGGGGACCGCAAGGCCUCAUGCUAUAGGAGCGGCCGAUGUCUGAUUAGCUAGUUGGUGGGGUAAAGGCCCACCAAGGCGACGAUCAGUAGCUGGUCUGAGAGGACGAUCAGCCACACUGGGACUGAGACACGGCCCAGACUCCUACGGGAGGCAGCAGUGGGGAAUUUUGGACAAUGGGCGAAAGCCUGAUCCAGCAAUGCCGCGUGUGUGAAGAAGGCCUUCGGGUUGUAAAGCACUUUUGUCCGGAAAGAAAUGGCUCUGGUUAAUACCUGGGGUCGAUGACGGUACCGGAAGAAUAAGGACCGGCUAACUACGUGCCAGCAGCCGCGGUAAUACGUAGGGUCCAAGCGUUAAUCGGAAUUACUGGGCGUAAAGCGUGCGCAGGCGGUUGUGCAAGACCGAUGUGAAAUCCCCGAGCUUAACUUGGGAAUUGCAUUGGUGACUGCACGGCUAGAGUGUGUCAGAGGGGGGUAGAAUUCCACGUGUAGCAGUGAAAUGCGUAGAGAUGUGGAGGAAUACCGAUGGCGAAGGCAGCCCCCUGGGAUAACACUGACGCUCAUGCACGAAAGCGUGGGGAGCAAACAGGAUUAGAUACCCUGGUAGUCCACGCCCUAAACGAUGUCAACUAGUUGUUGGGGAUUCAUUUCCUUAGU